CAAUAGCGUAUAUUAAAGUUGUUGCAGUUAAAAAGCUCGUAGUCGGAUUUUGGCAUCACGCCGCACUGUCUGCCGAUUGGUAAGUACGGUUUGGCGGUUGCUUCCUUCCGGUGCUGUAUGCUGCUCUUAAUUGAGCGGUAUGCUAGUUCCGGUUCAUUUACUUUGAGAAAAUUAGAGUGUUCAAAGCAGGCCUAUGCUCUGAAUAGGUUAGCAUGGAAUAAUAGAAUAGGACUUUGGUUCUAUUUUGUUGGUUUCUAGGACCGAAGUAAUGAUUAAUAGAGACAGUUGGGGGCAUUCAUAUUCCAUUGUCAGAGGUGAAAUUCUUGGAUUAACGGAAGAUGAACUUCUGCGAAAGCAUCUGCCAAGGAUGUUUUCAUUGA
rnacentral:rRNA from 1 species